rnacentral:misc_RNA from 1 species
UAGACAUGUAUGCAAAAUGUGGAAGCAUUGAGAGGGCUGUGAAAGUGUUUCAAAUGGUUGACCAUAAAGAUUUGCUUUGUUACAGCACAAUGAUAGCAGCCUUUGCAAAUCACGGAUUAAGUGAAGAUGCCAUUUCUUUGUUUGGUGAGAUGCAAAAGGCAAACAUAAAACCUGAUAGAGUGACUUUUCUUGGGGUUUUGACUGCUUGUAACCAUGGGGGCCUUAUUUAUGAGGGCAGGAGGUUUUUCAAACAAAUGAUUGAUGAAUAUGGAAUUCAACCGUCAGAGAAGCACUAUGCUUGUUUUGUUGACAUUCUUGGUCGUGCCGGGUGCCUUGAAGAAGCACAUAGUAUCAUAUGCAGCAUGUCAAUUGUACCUAGUGCAGCCAUAUGGGGUGCUCUGCUUGCAGCUUGUAGGGUUCAUCACAAUGUUCUUUUGGCUGAAGUUGCAGCAGCUGAACUGUUCAAGAUUGAGCCACAUAAUUCUGGAAAUUAUGUUCUUUUAUGUAAUAUAUAUUCUGAUGCUGGACGAUGGGACGAUAUUGCUAAAGUGAGGACAAUGAUUAGGGAGAACCAAGUUAAAAAGAAUAGAGGUUCCAGCUGGAUUGAGUUGGGAUGUGUAGUCCAUGAGUUUUUCAUGGGAGAUAAUUCUCAUUUUGAUUCAGAAAACAUUUACUUUAUCUUGGACUUGCUCAGCAAAGAUAUGAAGCUUUUGGGAUAUAGUAUGGACUCCAAAAAGGAGGCACCACUACUACAGCAGUUUGCAAGAUAGUUGACCAGACUGAAAUGUAAUAGAGGGAACAAUUAAAAUUUUUCUACCAGCAUAGAUGAAGAUUCAAAUAAGGGUCAACCUUGGAGAAGCUGUGAGUUUGCUUCAUUGUAACAUGAGGGUCAUUGAUUAAAACUACAUGAACAACUUCCUUGUAUUGUAAGGUGAAUCUUUCCUGGUUUUACAACCCCGUAAGUGCACGGAUCGCUAACAAGUA